UCUGACUCAGCUUCCCAAACCGGCUCGGUUUCCGAGGAGCGAGGCAGUCUCCCCUCGCCGACGCGCGCUGCGGGCCGUCCCGUCCUGCAGGAACAGUCUCUACGGCAGCCCUGGCUCCUUCUGGGCCAGCGCGAGGGCUGCUUCCAGAAAGAACAUAACAACCGUUCCCUUCACCUUCUGGGCUUUGGAACACGGGCCAGAAACUUCUACAGAUUCAACCUCCUCCGUCUCCAUUUCCCGAGCAAACACGUGACAACAACCUUCCCAUGUGAUGUCCCAGCCCAGGGGACUCGAUCAGAUGCACGCUCUGGUCCCGCCCAACCCUAACAUACAGCCACCAGACGAGAGUCCCUCCGUGCCCACGCUGACCCGUGCACGCUGACCUUUAGCUCAUCGUCACCGUUCUCGCCGGAGCCUCGCCAGGCCUUGAUGACAAGGACGGUGCCAUGUGGCCAUCACCUCUUCCAGCCAUGAAGGACAAAGCAUUCUACCCCUCUGGAGGAUGCAGCAUUCAAAGCUUCAUCUUGGGAUCAGAAUGACCAAGUCUGCAAGCACCUUGAUAUUGGACUUUCCAGCCUCCAGAACCGUGAGCAAAUCAAUUUCUGUUCUUUAUAAAAUUACCCAGUCUGUGAUAUUCUGUUAUGGCAGCACAUAAUGGACUAAUAUAGUCACUUCCUCUCGUGUUCCAUUGGUGAAAACUAGUUCAUGGCCCCACUA